rnacentral:rRNA from 1 species
GACGAACGCUGGCGGCGUGCUUAACACAUGCAAGUCGAACGGAAAGGCCCAGCUUGCUGGGUGCUCGAGUGGCGAACGGGUGAGUAACACGUGGGUGAUCUGCCCCUAACUUCGGGAUAAGCUUGGGAAACUGGGUCUAAUACCGGAUAGGACAAUCGUUUAGUGUCGGUUGUGGAAAGUUUUUUCGGUUAGGGAUGAGCCCGCGGCCUAUCAGCUUGUUGGUGGGGUAAUGGCCUACCAAGGCGUCGACGGGUAGCCGGCCUGAGAGGGUGGACGGCCACAUUGGGCCUGAGAUACGGCCCAGACUCCUACGGGAGGCAGCAGUGGGGAAUAUUGCACAAUGGGCGCAAGCCUGAUGCAGCGACGCCGCGUGGGGGAUGACGGCCUUCGGGUUGUAAACCUCUUUCGACAGGGACGAAGCUUUGGUGACGGUACCUGUAUAAGAAGCACCGGCUAACUACGUG